rnacentral:lncRNA from 1 species
UUUAGCUUGGAUCUCGAGAGUUUUCAAAAAUCAAAUUUGUUUGAUUUCUUUUUCCGCUACGUUUUACCGUACGCAAUUUUCUAACAGUGGUAUCAGAGCAAUCCUCAUGUUUUUAAGAUUAAAAUUAUGAAUUUAGGUAUUCUAAACUAUUUUUCGCCGGUAGAACGAUUUAUAGAUCGUUUUGAUUAAUUCGAAAAGUUCGAAUUGAUUAAACAACUUAAUCGACGGUUUCUUGUUUUCAAGCAAACUAGCAAAAAAAAAAAAAAAUUGUAGCGAUCGUACCGAUGCGAUUGUAGCAUCCGUACGGAAUAGAUUUUUUUUAAAAAAAAUUAUUUUUCUUUUAAAAUCUCUUCUCCUCUAGAUUAAUUUUAAAAGAAAAAAUAUACAUAUGAAUCUAAUUUGAUUAGAUCAAAUUUAACAUCUUGAUGAGAUCAAGUUGUUUUUGAAGAUUAAAUUUUUGAUCAAAAUUAUAGACGAUCAAUAAGAUUGAUUAUUUUUUGUGAUUUAGUCACUAUUAUUUUUCGAAUCAUCGGUUAACGGUUAAUUAGAAUACCCAAAAUUUAUUAUUAUGUUGUGAUGUAUGAGAUACAUAUUGGUGAUGAUCAUGGAUAGCGGCCAAUUUAUUUUUGUUUCGACAUGUGAUGUAUGAUGUGUAUGCCGAAUCCUGUAAUUUUAAAUUUGUUUAAAUUAAGGAUUUUGUAUUAGAGAUGGCUAUAUUUGUGCCUGCGUGCACAAGCCGAUUUAUUUGUAGACCUGCGUGUCUCAAUAGAUUAGAGAUAAAAGUUAUCAAUUAUAAUUAAUUUUUAUUUUAUUUUUAUUGUUGAGUUGUAUAAUGUAUGGUUGCACGUCAUUGGUUGAUCGGUUGCAAGUCAAGAAGUACGCAAAGACUUAAUCGAGAUG